rfam:Leptolyngbya sp. Heron Island J, whole genome shotgun sequence.
GGAGAGGUGGCAGAGUGGUCGAUUGCGCUCGACUUGAAAUCGAGUGAGCCGAAAGGUUCCGAGGGUUCGAAUCCCUCCCUCUCCG